AUGCAUAUGUGUGUCUAUACAUGUACACAAAUAUACACCAUACAUACACACGUAUAUAUGCUUGUGUGUGUGAGUGUGUAUGUGUACAUGCCACAUCGAACAGAGAAAUGUCUGGUUGCUUAUCAAGUGUCCAGGUAAUAGGAUGCAAUUUGGGGUGACUUGACUUUCGUUUUUGUACUUUUCUGUAUUGUUUGGAUUAUUUAAAUAAUAAGACUGUGCCGUUUUCCCUAAAAGGAUAAAGGCAUUUUUAAAUUAAAAAUACAACAACUCGAAAAUAUAGUUCUGCUGUGUGAGUUGAUAAAUGUGAAGUGCUGGGAGCGUGUUUGGAAGACAGUCAGAGCUGAACAAGCAUUGGCUGUUAUUGUCCUGCUCGUUCCUACGUGGCAGACCCUGCUCUAAAUACUUAACGUGUAUUUUCUCCCUUAAUCCUUACAGAGACUGAGACACAGACAGGUGAUGCCACAGAUCACAGAGUUUUAAAGUAAGAAGACCAUAUUUUACAGACAAAUGUCUUUUAAUCCCUUUAACAUAAACGGCUAUUCAAAAUGCCUUAGCCUGUAUUUGUAUAAAAACUCAUUGCUGAGGAUAUUCUCAACUGAUACUAUGAAUAUGUAACUGCUUUAUAUGAUUCAAAAGGAUUACCUAUAAAUUCUCAUAAGGUUUCUAGAAGCAUCACUUUAAAAUAAAUGAGUUAAAAUAACUAUACAUUCUAAGACCUAUAUAAGUCAUAUAGUGAACUAAAAUUUGUACUUUAAACUUGGUAGCAAAAUUACCAAUAACAGUACCAGUUCGCCCUUGAAUAGUGAUUUAUAGUUUACAAAGCGCAUUCACAUACAUUGGCUCACCCUGAUCUCCACAACCACUGAGGGAAGCAGUCGAGUAGGGUAGACAUUAACAUCCCUGCUUAUAGUUGAGGAAGCUGAAUCAGAUAUGUAAGCAUCAAUUAGAAUGUCUUUGGCCACAAGGAAAAAAACUUAACUCUACCUGGUUUAAACAAUACGAGAAUACAUUGGCUCACCUACCUCCAUGCCCAGAGGUGAGGUGGUCUUCAGGGUUGACACAAUCUAGCUGGCUAGACUCUAUUUCUCUGAUAUUCUCUUGGUUCUGCCCCUCACCAAACUUUGGCUCCAUCUUCAGCCUGACAAUUAAAUGGCUGCUAUAGUUCUGGGGCUCAAAGCCAUAAACAACAAUGCCAGAUGAAAAGGCCAUUUCUUUCCGCAGCUUUAUCCUGCAAACUAGGAAAACUGUCCUUAGAAGUCCUUAGCAAACAUCUCCUCACUUAUCGUUGGCCCAGAUUAAUUCAUAUGUCCAUUCCUGAAUCAAUUAUUGGCAAGGGACACGGGAUUACCUUUAGAUGAAUCAAGACACCUGAUGAAACGCCGGGCUCUGUUAGGAAGGAGGGAAAAAGGGAAUGAUAAUGAAUAUUAGUUGAGCACUAUAACCUGGGAAAGAGGCCAACUCCUCUAGGUAAAGCUCUGGACCUAAGAGUACCAUUGAGACCAAGAUGGCAGGAUUCGGGCCCCUCAACUCCCACCUCUUCAUAUAACAGCCUCAAUUGGUUCGUAUUUUCAUUAGAUGAGGAUGCUCAUUUUUGGCUUCUAUGGGGGCAUUCUUAAAAAAAAGUUUGAAUGUGGUAAUUCCGUACGCCUGAGUUUGCAAGACUGAACUUGGACGGACUGGUAAAUAUUUGCCUUGAAAGCCACAUUCUGACAAAUCCCUCAGAAGUAUUCUUCUUUUUUUUAUUAUAAAAUAUUUCAAGGAAUAAAAAACAAAGCUUUAAAAAGCCUUCACAUUACACCAUAUUUGCACUGGACUUUUAAAGAAAAAAAUACCGCAGUUGUAGUUGAAGCUCCCUGAGUAUGUCUUCCAGAACCCAUUGUCCUUUCUCCCUCACCGGAGGAAACCACAGUCCUGAAUUCGAUGUCCAGUUUCAUGUGGAUGUUUUUAUACUUUUACUAGUAAGUAUAGAUCUGAGAUAAAUAUACAUAGUAUCGUUUUGAAUAUGUGUGUGUGUGUGUAUAAGUGGUAACCUGAACAUGUCCUUCUGCAAUGACACUUUUUGCUCAAGGUUGUUCUUGUGUUGUUCUCUAUUGAGAUAUAUGGUGUAAGUUCACUCACUGGUAAUUGCAAUAUAGCCCCUUGUUCAAAUACGCUACAACGCAUUAUCCACUCUUCUGUUGAUGGAUAUUUUGGUGGUUUUCUCUGUUUCGCUAUUACAGAGCUAUUGUGAACUUUCUAGCAGAUAUCUCACAGUGCACACGCAGAAAAGUUUGUCUGGUGGUGUGUAUCUUGGAGUGGGAUUAUUGGAUGUGUUCUUCUUCAACCUGAAUAGACAGUGUCAGAUUGCUGCCAAUCUGACGGCUGUGACAUGGAAUUGCAUUGCUGGUUUCAGAAGUAUAAUAAUUUCUUUUUUCCCUUAUAUUUCUUAUGCACUUGAAACUCUCCAGUUUCUCAAAUUGAUUCCAUUUUUUCCCCCAUAUUGGAAAUUUGUAUUCUUUCCUUUAUAAUGGAAAAUUGCAGUGGUUAUUAUGAGUUCAUCUUGAUAUAUCUUAUUUAAGUUAGCCUCUUUUGUCCUUUGAAAUAACUUUUAUUACUUAUUAGACAUAGAUAAAUGACAAGGAGAGAAAAGAAAUACAGACACAUAUAUAGACACUUGUCAUUUUCUCUCCAAAUUGUUAUUUUAGAUAAGGCAAAUUUUUCUUGAUAAUUUCUUGCUCACUUAACUAAGUAUAUAAUGUUAUCUGAAUUUUUGUAUUUUGUAUGUAGAAUAGCAUAUGUCUCCUUUUCUUCUCAGUGGAGAAAUUCCAAGAUCAGAAGAUUUAAGAAUAGUAUUGAUAACCCAUUGGUUUCAUUAGUAUUUGGCAAUCCUGUCUAGUAGAAUCCUUGGACUUGCACCCGGAGUGGAGAGAUGACAUUACUGAACGAUGCCACUUUAGCAUCUUAAAGCACCACUCUCUUUUUAUACAGCGUCUACCUAAGAGAUUCAGCUGCACUCGGAUACGCUUGCGGCGAGCUCCCUGAAGAGUUUCCCUGUGCUUGGAGGAAGAAGUAACGUCAGUAAAUCAAAAUUUACACCCUGUUGACCUUGGAAAUACAAAGGCAACACAAUAAACCAACAUGAGGUCAUGUUUCCAUUCUGGUUGAGGACAGGGGAACAUUUAAUCCUGAGCAGAGUGAGGGAGACAGGAGGAAAUAAAAUGCAUGCUGACUGAGACGGUACUGUUUUCUCUUGCAGUUUGCUCUGCAAGAUCCAGUUGGGAAAGGAAGAAGCAUUUAUUUCUCUUGCUUUCCACACAUACCUUUGAAGUGUCUUAGCAUCAAAAGAAACACCCAGCCUGAAACUAUAUUUUCUUUACUCAAAACGUGUGGUAGUCUCAAGAUGACAGCUAGAUUUUUCUGGCAUGAACAGUAAAGGUCAACUUUGGCAAUGUUCCAUUAAUACAUGACUGCAAACAUUUUUAUACAUAAGAGCCUACAGGCAUUCGAACAUCGACUGUAAUUGAAAACCAGAUGUUGUGAGAAAAACCCUACAAGCCGCUACUUCCAAAUUAAAAACCACCUAGGUCUUUGUCCGGGGCCUCAGUGGCCGCAGUUUCCACCUCAGACCUCUGUGGUGCUCCUGCUGGGAUUUGGAGGUUUGCUCAGAAUCUUCCAUUCAUCUAAUUAGUCCUUUGGGAGAAAGAAAGAUGAAAGGAAGGGAGGGCAGGAGACACAGAGAUGCUUCACAUGGCUGUUUAGACCACGAAUGUAGCUCAUCUAGGAAAGAACUGGUGACAUGAAAAUAAUGAAACAGAAGGAUUGAGCUCUGUGAAUUGAGAGGUUUUGUCUUCAUUUAGAUAAAGUCACCAUUAAGCCACUCCUAUUUCCUUACUCUUAACUAAGGUGGAAUCAGGAAAGGAAAUGCAAAGUUGGGUCACCUUUUCCAAAUGGCUUCAGAAAAACUUCCCUAAUCAGGGGCCCCCAAAAGGAGGAAAUAUACUGGGGUGUAUAAGGCCUUGGUAGAUGAAGUGUGAGGAAUUUCUCUCUUGCCACCUGAUUCCGGUUAGAAAUUCACUGGCUGUGUCGCUGACUGAACAAAACAGAGGAUAAUAGCCGCUGGCUGAAGAUUUUAUAAUUGAAGCUGAGACAGAGUGGGCCAUGUGCAUGUUUAGAACAGUGAUUGCAUUGUGAAUUACAACAGAAGUCCCACUUGUCAGUCACACAAACGUUUAAGAGCAUAGAAAGGCAUCUGAUUUGGGACAAGGAUGACAAAAUAGAUCUUUUGGUUUCUCCCACUUUGCCCUGAGUACAAAGGGACUGAUGACUGCUUUGUUCUGGGAUAGAGUUUUAAUUCCUCUUAGGAUCUACCCAAUUAUUAACAGAGAAAGAAAAUUCCUGUCUGGAACCACUCCUACCACUUUCCGAAAGAAGUAAUCUUUAGUCCUCAUCAUCCAAUGAGAGAAAGAGAGUAAUAUAAAUGAUAUCGUGCCAGAUUUUUUGCUUUGUUUAUAAUCAUUACUUUUCCUCAUGUAUCUUUAGUGAUGUCUCAAUGUUAAACAACUGUAGUAAACACUGUUAAGAAACAUGGCUCUAAUUUGACAAUAUCAGUCAACAUUUAAAAUGCCUCUACCCUUUGAACCAGGAAUUACAUUUUUAAGAAUUUCUUUAACAGAUAAACUGAGAGAUGUGGAAAAUGAUAUAUUUACAAAGAUAAGCUUGGCAGCAUUGUUUGUAACAUCCAAAGAGUGAAAACAACCCAAAAGUUCAUCAACAGAUCAAUUAAAUAAAUUACUGUAUGUUUACACAAGGAAAUGGAGUAUCAGAUUAAAGUCUGGUUCCAGUCCUUGUCAUGAGCCUUGGAACUCUGAAGUUUUUUAGUCUUUCAUUGAUCCGCUUAAUUAGUUGCACCCCUAUUUAAGGAAGUUACAAACAUUAGGCAUUGAGGGAUUGAAGACAUGGGUGCUUUGCCUUCAGCUCUGGUUAGUAGUAACGGAAAAUUAUUAAUACUGAUGGGAGAAGAAAGUAAGGAAUCUUGACUAAUUCUGGAUCAUCUCUAAACAGCUCAGUGGCCAUGUUAACAGGCUGUUUUCUAGAUUUACAGGAUGCACCGAUGCCUCUUGGGUACAUUAUACUUCUUAGGUCAAGAGGACUCCCAUGAUGUUCUUCGAAUGGCUAGAGUUUUAUAGCCAUUUGAUCACAAUGCAUAAAAAAGGUUAAAGUGAAUAUUUUCAUCUCUCACUCAUGAGUCCUUUAACCACAGGGUCUAAGAAACUCCUGGAUAUAACAGAAAUGGAAGAACCCCAUUUAGUCCUAUUGUUGACAUGCCGCAAAGAGAAAACUAUUUUGUUAGAAAUAAAUCUGUGGGGGCCGGCCCAGUGGCGCAGCAGUUAAGUU